rnacentral:rRNA from 1 species
CAGUAGCCGCGGUAAUACGAAGGGUGCAAGCGUUAAUCGGAAUUACUGGGCGUAAAGCGUGCGUAGGCGGUUUGUUAAGUCUGCUGUGAAAUCCCCGGGCUCAACCUGGGAAUGGCAGUGGAUACUGGCAAGCUAGAGUGUGUCAGAGGAUGGUGGAAUUCCCGGUGUAGCGGUGAAAUGCGUAGAGAUCGGGAGGAACAUCAGUGGCGAAGGCGGCCAUCUGGGACAACACUGACGCUGAGGCACGAAAGCGUGGGGAGCAAACAGGAUUAGAUACCCCGGUAGUCCCUGUCUCUUAUAC